UAGAUAGAUAGGAAGAUCGAUAGAUAGAGAGAGAGGGUGAAAGAGAAAGAGAAAGAAAGAAAGCGAGCGAAUGAGAGAUCACACGACAUAUUAUCAGAGAUAACCUUUGCACACGGCACCACCACGUAGGCACGGUGAUAAAAUUGCACUAUCUCACAGACUCGCCCACAGUUCUAAAAUUAAGUGCAGUCGUGUAGUCAUUCGGUGGGAAACAUUGAGAAAAAAAACAUUCUUAUUUAGUCAGAUUAGAGAGAACAUUAAGGAAAUUCCACUGGAGAGGGUAUUAAACUCGCGACCUGGAGAGCACGCCGCCAGGAGACACUUGACAGCCCUCGCCUGACCUUCGCCGACGGACGGACGCCCAGUCUGAUGUUUAAUAUGGACAGGCACUGCUGAUGUGGACAGGACGACGCAGGCAGCGUGGGCAUGGAGUCAGAGACUACGUGAGAUACUACAUGAGGCCUUAAAUGUGAGACGUGAGGCGAGGUCAGGCCUUUUGGUAAGGAUGACAACACGGUCGUCAGAAGCAAGUGGCGUGCUGGAACAUAUUCCUUAUAACUCAUAGAAUCCCGAUAUAAUGGAAUAUAGACUCAAAUUGCUGCUCUCACAUUGGAUUUAGAAGGAACGUCUUCGUGGAGGCGUUUCCUAGACUGACAAAGUGCAGAAGAUCAAGAUGUCUGCGGAUGUUACUAAGUUAAUAGCGUGAAUGCUUUCCAUAAUACCUUAACAAUAAUUCUCCCGAGGAAUUUGCACGGAAUA